GACGAACGCUGGCGGCGUGCUUAACACAUGCAAGUCGAGCGAGGCCCCUCCUUCGGGAGUGUGUCCUAGCGGCGAACGGGUGAGUAACACGUGGGCAACCUGCCCUCAGCUCUGGGAUAACUCCGGGAAACCGGGGCUAAUACCGGAUACGACCUCCACGGGCAUCUGCGGAGGUGGAAAGUUUUUCGGCUGAGGCUGGGCCCGCGGCCUAUCAGCUAGUUGGUGGGGUAGUGGCCCACCAAGCCGACGACGGGUAGCCGGCCUGGGAGGGCGACCGGCCACACUGGGACUGAGAGAGGGCCCAGAGUCCUACGGGAGGCAGCAGUGGGGAGUAUUGCGCAAUGGGGGAAAGCCUGACGCAGAGACGCCGCGUGAGGGAAGAAGGCCUUCGGGUUGUAAAACUCUUUCAGCAGAGACGAAGCGUAAGUGACGGUACCUGCAGAAGAAGCACCGGCCAACUACGUG
rnacentral:rRNA from 1 species